rnacentral:rRNA from 1 species
UACAGGGGGGGCAAGCGUUGUUCGGAAUUACUGGGCGUAAGGGGUCUGUAGGUGGCCAACUAAGUCAGACGUGAAAUCCCUCAGCUUAACUGGGGAACUGCGUCUGAUACUGGAUGGCUCGAGUGUGGGAGAGGAAUGCGGAAUUCCAGGUGUAGCGGUGAAAUGCGUAGAUAUCUGGAGGAACAUCGGUGGCGAAGGCCGCAUUCUGGACCAUAACUGACACUGAGAGACGAAAGCCAGGGGAGCAAACGGG